rnacentral:rRNA from 1 species
GAUGAACGCUGGCGGCAUGCCUAACACAUGCAAGUCGAUCGGGAAGUCUCUUCGGAGUUCCCGAGAGGCGGACGGCUGAGUAACGCGUAGGAACACACCCUGCAGUGAGGGAUAAGACACCGAAGGGUGUUCUAAUACCGCAUACGGUCUUCGGAUUAAAGCAUUUAUGCGCUGAAGGAGUGGCCUGCGUCCUAUUAGAUAGUUGGUGAGGUAAUGGCUCACCAAGUCGAUGAUGUGUAGCUGGUCUGAGAGGAUGAUCAGCCAGACUGGAACUGAGACACGGUCCAGACUCCUACGGGAGGCAGCAGUGAGGAAUAUUUCACAAUGAGCGAAAGCUUGAUGGAGCAAUGCCGCGUGCAGGAUGAAGGCCCUCGGGUUGUAAAAUGCUUUUAUAAGAGAAGAUUAUGACGGUAACUUAUGAAUAAGGGACGGCUAACUACGUG